GCUCCAGUGGCCUAGUGGUUAGAGCGUCUGCUUCAGAUGCUGGAGGUUGUGGGUUCGAUCCACGGCCGAGACA